UGGGAAUUUGGACAAUGGGCGAAAGCCUGAUCCAGCAAUGCCGCGUGUGUGAAGAAGGCCUUCGGGUUGUAAAGCACUUUUGUCCGGAAAGAAAUCCUUGGCUCUAAUACAGUCGGGGGAUGACGGUACCGGAAGAAUAAGCACCGGCUAACUACGUGCCAGCAGCCGCGGUAAUACGUAGGGUGCAAGCGUUAAUCGGAAUUACUGGGCGUAAAGCGUGCGCAGGCGGUUUGCUAAGACCGAUGUGAAAUCCCCGGGCUCAACCUGGGAACUGCAUUGGUGACUGGCAGGCUAGAGUAUGGCAGAGGGGGGUAGAAUUCCACGUGUAGCAGUGAAAUGCGUAGAGAUGUGGAGGAAUACCGAUGGCGAAGGCAGCCCCCUGGGCCAAUACUGACGCUCAUGCACGAAAGCGUGGGGAGCAAACAGGAUUAGAUACCCUGGUAGUCCACGCCCUAAACGAUGUCAACUAGUUGUUGGGGAUUCAUUUCCUUAGUAACGUAGCUAACGCGUGAAGUUGACCGCCUGGGGAGUACGGUCGCAAGAUUAAAACUCAAAUGAAUUGACGGGGUCAUAGCUG
rnacentral:rRNA from 1 species